rnacentral:rRNA from 1 species
AUUGAACGCUGGCGGCAUGCUUUACACGUGCAAGUCGAACGGUAACAGGCCGCAAGGUGCUGACGAGUGGCGAACGGGUGAGUAAUGCAUCGGAACGUGCCCAGUCGUGGGGGAUAACGCAGCGAAAGCUGUGCUAAUACCGCAUACGAUCUAUGGAUGAAAGCGGGGGACCGUAAGGCCUCGCGCGAUUGGAGCGGCCGAUGUCAGAUUAGGUAGUUGGUGGGGUAAAGGCCCACCAAGCCAACGAUCUGUAGCUGGUCUGAGAGGACGACCAGCCACACUGGAACUGAGACACGGUCCAGACUCCUACGGGAGGCAGCAGUGGGGAAUUUUGGACAAUGGGCGAAAGCCUGAUCCAGCCAUUCCGCGUGCAGGAUGAAGGCCCUCGGGUUGUAAACUGUUUUUGUACAGAACGAAAAGGUUUCUACUAAUACUAGGAGCUCAUGACGGUACUGUAAGAAUAAGCACCGGCUAACUACGUGCCAGCCGCCGCCGUAA